AUGUGCUGGAUCCAUCAGAGACCACGACAGGCGCUGGAGUUGCUGGCGGGGAUCACCAGUGGUGGCACCACCGCCUACGCGCCGUCUGUCAAGGGCCGGAUCACGAUCUCCAGGGGGCUCCGGGCGGCCGUGAUCCUGUUGGAGUGCGGGCGGGAUCUCCAGCCCCCCGGCACCCCCAGCCAGUCCCGAGUUGGCAACCCCGACGCGGCCGACGGCGGGGAGACGCUGUCCCAAGCCCCAAGGAGACCCGGGCAGGGGCUGGAAGGGGUUGGAGUGGUCAACAAGGGUGGUUCCAGCACCUUCUACGCACCAUCGUUCAAGGGCCGGGUCGCGAUCUCCAGGGACCACGGGCAGAGCUCGAGACGCGGGCAGGCUUUGGAAUACGUCGCAAGCAUCUACUACAAUGGUGCCAACACAUACUACGCGCCAUCGUAUUGA